CAGCCGCCGCGGUAAUACGAAGGGGGCAAGCGUUGUUCGGAGUUACUGGGCGUAAAGGGCGCGUAGGCGGUUGUUCAAGUCAGAUGUGAAAGCCCUGGGCUUAACCCGGGAAUUGCAUUUGAGACUGAGCGGCUAGAAUCCGAGAGAGGUUGGUGGAAUUCCCAGUGUAGAGGUGAAAUUCGUAGAGAUUGGGAAGAACACCGGAGGCGAAGGCGGCCAACUGGCUCGGUAUUGACGCUGAGGCGCGAAAGCGUGGGGAGCAAACAGGAUUAGAUACCCGGGUAGUCCCUGUCUCUUAUAC
rnacentral:rRNA from 1 species